rnacentral:rRNA from 1 species
GAGUAAAGAUUUCGGUCGCUUUGGGAGGAGCUCGCUUACUAUCAGCUUGUUGGUAGGGUAAUGGCCUACCAAGGCUAUGACGGUUAGGGGGUGUGAGAGCAUGACCCCCAGCAUUGGCACUGAAACACUGGCCAAACACCUACGGGUGGCUGCAGUCGAGAAUCUUCCACAAUGGGGGAAACCCUGAUGGAGCGAUGCUGCGUGCGGGAUGAAGGCCUUCGGGUUGUAAACCGCUUUUGUAGGGGACGAAAUUUUUGACGGUACCCUUUCGAAUAAGAGGUUGCUAACUCUGUGCCAGCAGCAGCGGUAAUACAGAGACCUCAAGCGUUAUCCGGAUUUACUGGGCGUAAAGCGUCUGUAGGGGGUUUAUUAAGUUCCAAGUAAAAUUUCAAGGCUCAACUUUGAAUUCGCUUGGAAAACUAAUAAACUGGAGUCUAGCAGAGGUGCAUGGAACUUGUGGUGUAGGAGUGAAAUCCGUUGAUAUCACAAGGAACACCAAAGGCGAAGGCAUUGCACUGGGCUAGCACUGACCCUGAGAGACGAAAGCGUGGGGAGCAAAACGGAUUAGAUACCCGUGUAGUCCACGCCCUAAACGAUGAAUGCUAAAUGUUCGGGGAUUCGACCCCCUGGGUGUUACAGCUAACGCGUUAAGCAUUCCGCCUGGGAAGUACGGCCGCAAGGCUAAAACUCAAAGGAAUAGACGGGGAUCCGCACAAGCGGUGGAGCGCCUGGUUUAAUUCGACAGUAAGCGUGGUACCUCACCAGGGUUUGACAUCCCUUGACAGCCUUGGAAACAAGGUUUCCUUCGGGCAAGGUGACAGGUGCUGCAUGGUCGUCGUCAGUUCGUGCCGUGAGGUGUUCCGUUAAGUCGGGAAACGAACGAAACCCCUAUUGCAUGUUACAAUUUCUCAUGCAAGACUGCCCGGAUAUACUGGGAGGAAGGUGGGGAUGACGUCAGAUCUGCAUGGUCCUUAUACCCUGGGCGACACAGGCGCUACAAUGGCAGAGACAAAGGGUUGCAAAACCGCAAGGUGAAGCUAAUCCCAAAAACUUUGUCUAAGUUCGGAUUGAAGGCUGCAAUUCGCCUUCAUGAAGCUGGAAUCGCUAGUAAUCGUGAAUCAGCCACGUCACGGUGAAUAUGUUCCCGGAUCUUGUACUCACCGCCCGUCACACCAAGAGAGUUGGU